GACGUAGGGCGCAAGCGUUGUCCGGAUUUAUUGGGCGUAAAGGGCUCGUAGGCGGUUUGUCGCGUCGGGUGUGAAAACCUACAGCUUAACUGUGGGCUUGCUUUCGAUACGGGCAGACUAGAGGUAUGCAGGGGAGAACGGAAUUCCUGGUGUAGCGGUGAAAUGCGCAGAUAUCAGGAGGAACACCGGUGGCGAAGGCGGUUCUCUGGGCAUGAUCUGACGCUGAGGAGCGAAAGCGUGGGGAGCGAACAGG
rnacentral:rRNA from 1 species